rnacentral:tRNA from 1 species
GGGUAUUUAGCUUAGUGGCAUAAGCGCCUGCUUUGCAAGCAGGCAGUCAUGAGUUUGAUCCCUGGUACCGA